rnacentral:rRNA from 1 species
UUGCUCUUCAACGAGGAAUGCCUAGUAAGCGCAUGUCAUCAGCAUGCGUUGAUUACGUCCCUGCCCUUUGUACACACCGCCCGUCGCUACUACCGAUUGAAUGGCUCAGUGAGGCCUUCGGACUGGCUCAGGGAGGUCGGCAACGACCACCCAGAGCCGGAAAGUUCGUCAAACUUGGUCAUUUAGAGGAAGUAAAAGUCGUAACAAGGUUUCCGUAGGUGAACCUGCGGAAGGAUCAUUACAAGAGUAUUUCAGUUUGGCUAUAUGCCUCUGAAAAUCUCCACCCUUUGUUUACAUUACCUUUUGUUGUUGCCUCGGUGGGUGCUACCAUACACCUGCCGGCAGACACCUUUUAAAACCCUUGAUUUAAUACUAUAGUCAGAGCUGUAACAAGCAAAAGAUUAAUAAAUCAAAACUUUCAACAACGGAUCUCUUGGUUCUGGCAUCGAUGAAGAACGCAGCGAAAUGCGAUAAGUAAUGUGAAUUGCAGAAUUCAGUGAAUCAUCGAAUCUUUGAACGCACAUUGCGCCCUUUGGUAUUCCGAAGGGCACACCUGUUCGAGCGUCAUUACACCAAUCAAGUCUUACUUGGUAUUGGGCUCUUUUGUCCCUAGUCUUCUAGGGACAGGCCUUAAAGACAUUGGCGGCAUAGUCCGGCUUCGAGCGUAGCAAAAAACAUCGCUUUUGGAGUUUUCUGGAUUAUUGUUCCUUGUCCAUAAAAAUAGGGUAGAAAUAUCCGUUUUUUUUUCUUAAGGUUGACCUCGGAUCAGGUGGGGAUACCCGCUGAACUUAAGCAUAUCAAUAAGCGGAGGA